UUUGUGGUGAAAUGGUUACCUGCCGAGGCGCCGACAGGGUUUAAGGAUAUCUACUAGAUAUCGAAGGCUGUGCUAGCAGGUUAGUCCUUGUUUCGAAAUAAUUGAAUUAUUGGAGUAAUUUUUUUUUAAAAAAUUAUUUUUAUGAUUUGAUAAUCAAUUAAUUUUAAAAAGGUAUUAUAAGAUGAUUUUUAUUUAUUUUUAGGUAAAAAUAAAAAAUUAUGUUAAAUUUAUAUCUUUAAUAGUUUUUUCUUAAUAAGUGUGUCAAAAUUCAACAAUCUAUUUAUUAUGAAACGGAGAAAGUAUUUUUUAGUUUCAAUUUAUAUAAUAUGAAUAAAAUUUUGUAAUUAAUUAUAUUUUAAAUAUUUUAAGUUGUUAGCUAUUGUAAUUUAUAAUAAUUUUUUGACAUUGUAAUUUACUAUUUUAAGUAGUUAGCCAUUAUAAUUUAUAAUACUCACCUUGUCCAAAGUUUCGUAGCAUUGAUAAUCUAUUAUAUUUUAAAAAUAAUUUAAGUUUUUAAUUACUGAAAUUUAUAAUAUUUUUUCUUCUAUUUCAAUUUAAGUGACACUGAUAUAAUUUCGAGAGUCAAUCGAAUAUCGCGAUUGAAGUUCCGAAGUAGACAUGUCUUAAAUGACUCAUAAUAACUUAUUAGAAGUGAUACAAUAAAAUUAUUAUAAAAAAUAGUUGUGAAAAAAAUUUAAGAGGGUAUCAUAUAAGUCGUCAAGUUAAUUUAAAACAUCAAGUGCUAAUUUUUAUUUUAUAUCUAUUUUAUCCAUUUUAUUAAAUAUUAUUAAUUUUUUAAUACUUAGAUGACUUAUAAUUAAUUAAGGGUGAUAUGGUAAAAUUACGGUUGAAAAAAUUGAAGCAAACAUGUCAUAAAUAUCUAUUUUAUUUUUUUUUAUUAAUUUUUUAAUACGUAAAUGACAUAUAAUAACCAAUUAGGAAAUAACUUAUUAGAAGUGGUAUAACAAAAUUAAUAUAAAAAUAGUUGUGAAAAAAAUUUAGAGAGACCUUAUAUAAGAUGUCAAAUUAAUUUAAAACUUCAAUAGUUAAAUAUUAUUAAUUUUUUUAAUACUUAAAUGACUUAUAGUAAUUGAUUAGGGAUGAAAUAAUUAAAUUAUGGUUAGAACAACUGAAGCAGACAUGUUAUAAAUGUGUAUUUUAUUUUUUGUUAAAUAUUUUAAAUUUUUAAUACUUAAAUGACAUAUAAAAUUAAUUAGGGGUGAUAUAGUAAAAUCACGGAUUAAUACUUAAAUGACCUAUAGUAAUUAAUUAGGGAUGAAAUAGUAAAAUUACGGUUGAAGCAGCUGAAGCAGACAUGUCAUAAAUGUCUAUUUUAUAUUUUUAUUAAAUAUUAUUAAUUUUUUAAUACCUAAAUAACAUAUAAUAAUUAAUUAGGGGUGAUAUGGUAAAAUCACGAAGAAAACAGACAUAACGACCGCCUUCGGCUUCCAAGCCUCUUCUAUAUAUUAGAAUAUGUGUGCCAAGGAUUUCAGUAAAAUGAUUCUCCUCCUUUUAGAAAGUAAGGCCGUUUAGCCAUGAAAAUAAUAUUAGUAAUUUUUUAGAGUUAGAAGUUGGAGUUCAAGUUGAAGUUCUAAAAUUUUGUGAGAAAAGUAUGAGUGCAAAAAAGUAAAAUAAUUACUUUGUGUCAAAAAGAAUAAGUUACUUUAACUUGACACAAAGUUUAAGAAAUUAAAAAAAAAAAUGAAUCUUGUGAUCUUAAAUUAAAGUUGUAUCAAAUGUAUCAAAAUGUCUUUUAAUUUUGUGGUCCUAAAUAUGUCAUAUGUAAAGUUGACAUUAUAGUAUUGCUAAAAAGGGAGAGGGUCUAUCUUUUUGAAAUAAACUAAAAAAAUAGAUCAUUCUUUUUUAAAUGGAGGAAAAAAAACUUAUUUUCACUUUUCCAAAUACAAUUUAGAAAUUAUAAUUUUUUAAAUCAGGUGUCAAUAAUGUAAAACUACCAGCACAGUCUAUGAGUCAAAUACAUCAUAAAACCAACAGGGAUAAUGUCUGUCUCUGAAUGCUAGUAAGGACAUAGACUGAUAUAGAAAGAUAGAAAUAGACCCCAGACGCAAGCAAGUCCAACCGCCACCUUGGAUACUUUGACGGUUCUCGAAAUCAAAUCAUGUGAGGUGCAUCCGAACUGAAAUCUACACCAGAAGGGUACACUAGGAGUGAGUGUGGUCUACCUUUACUCAAUAGGUAUCAUAGGUCGACCGAGCAAAGUAGAAAAUAAAGCAUACAAAAUAUAUACUAAAGGUACGUGACCUGCAAUCAGAAAUGUCUCAUAACGGUAGCUCACAUCACGUGUACUAACAGUUCUAGUAUACAUAUCUCAUAUAUUGCAACAACACAACCAAGUAGAAUACAAGUAUACAUCAUAUCACAUACAAGUAGGGAUAAGGAAGAACAUGCACAUAUAAAAUUGUCAAGUACAACUAACGGAAGAUAGCACAAAUAAGAUAAGAUAAGUUAAGAUGACAAUUCUAACACAACAUAAACACAAUAAGGUAAGUUCUAUAAGAUGAUGAUGAUGAUGAUAAUGAUAAUGAUAAUGAUGAAGCACGAGGUCGUCGCACAACCUCUGUAUACAUCUACGGAGGCAAGCCUCCCAACGUGGGACCUAUUGGAGAUUCAUCGACCCAUAUACAAUCCAUAAUUCAUAUCCAUAUCUCCUUCCCGACACAUUCCUCGAAAAGAAUUUUAUAAGGUGUUUCAAUAUCUACUCUCCAAUACAUCCCUUGGAGAGGGUUUUAUAAAAGAUGUUGCCAGUAUUUCUCACGUGUUGCCAUAGUAGUACCAUUUAUUUCAUGAAUGAGCGUGAUGUGAGGAUGUAAUACCCACAAUCAGUCACAAUGAGUAUUUGCACAAUCAACUACAAUGAUAUAUUUCCACAAUUAAUCGCAAUGUUACAUUUCCACAACUAUGUGAGCUAAUAUCCACUCAUUAUUUUUGUUCAUCCAUGAAUUUUCACAUAUUUCAUAUGCCAACAAGUAUGAAUAUAUCACAAUAUGUCAAAAGUACCACAAAAAGAUAUUUUCAACAGCAUAAUACAGUUACUUACAUGUAUUUUAGGCUAUCAACAUGACAUAGGAUUGCACACAGUCAUACAUAUCGCAUAAUAUUUCAAAAUCAAUAAUUACUUCACACAUAGGCCCCCACAUGGGCACAACACAGAUAGACAUUUAUCAUAAUUAGUUUCCACCCUUGUAUUUUGUAUCAAUAUUUACUACCCAACCCAAUCUGAAAGAGUUAAGUCAUAACCAUUUCAAAGGCUGAAAUCGGUCUGCAACACUUCAACCACAAAGCCCUACUUCUCAUGAAUGGUAUGGAAAUCAACUAAAACCAAGAAAUACAGAAUUAUGAGUCAAAACAAAGCUAACAAUGCCCAUAUUGCCCACUUUUGAUUCGGGAUCAAAACGGAUCUCCGAAAUUGAUUUUUAAAAAGAAGAUCAAAAUCAUAACUUUACUUCAAAAACUUGUUCCCCAUACCUUUAGAUAUCUACAGCUAAAAAAUCAAGUCAAAUGAAGUAAAAAACGAGGUUCAAAUCGAAGAAAAAUUAUUUUGAAAAUUACCGGGUAAAACCUUUGAAAUCUGUUUUAAAAUCAAGAAUUGAAGUUGUUUGUACGAUAAAAUUGGAGAAAAUUAGUAAAUUAUAGAAUUAAGAAUAUUAUUCAAGUGAAAAGAUUUAGAAUUUAGGACUAAAUUAAGUACCAAGGUUUUAGGGUUUUUGAACAAUUAAUCAAGAAACUUGAUAAAGAAAAGGGUGAAUUCUCACCUUAAAUCCGUAAGAGAAUCAAGAAUUAGAUGUUAAUCUAGCUUUCCAAACACCCACAAACUUCACUUUUAAGCUCUCACUCUAUUUUAGGGUUUAACUCUCAAAAGGCAAGAUGAAAAAUGAGCAAAAAAAGGUUAUUUAUACUCAUACCAGGUUACCAGGUACAUAAGGCAUAACUACACAUUCCUCAAAUGAGUUUUACCUUUUGUGAUUCAGGUUGCACCAGCAACCUCGUGCACCAGAUUUUCUUAGUCCAAAUCGGACUUUGAUGGGGUGCCCGAGAUUUGUUCGAAAUCUAAUAUACGCAACCAAACUAUGUAACCACACUAAAUUUGACGCUCCAGACUCAAUGGUGAUAUCAGAAUUUCAAAAGAAAUAUUAUUUUCACAAAAUCAAUCUCCAAAAUUUAAAAUCACAAUAUUCCAAAUCGAGGAUCAAAAUAAGAUUAAGAGUCACAAAACCACACCAACUGUGUUAGCACCCUAAAAUCGAUGUUCCAGAUUUGCUGGCGCAGUCCGUUCAGCCAUCUAUUGCACGGAUCAAAAGAUAACCACAGAAGUUCAAAAUAAGGCUUUGAAAGCCACCAAAAACCACAAUAUCACAUAAAUGGUACCAAAAUGCAUAGAAAAUUGUGUCAAUCACUCCCACACUCUAGAAAUAUCACAAUGCAACUAUGGGGAGGAGUAAAAUUAUCAAAUUACACAAAAUCAUAAAUUUUACAUAUUUCAUCAAAUUUCAGGUCAUUACAUCAUCCACCACUAAAAAUAUAUUUCAUCUUUAAACUAAAGGCAAAAGAAAUACCUGAAUCCACAAAGAGCUGGGAAUAAGAACUGCAUAUAUCAAACUGAACCUCCCAAGUAGCUUCAUCUAUAGGUCGAUUUUUUCACUGAACCUUAACAAUAGGGAUAACUCCAAAACACAACUAUCUAAUAUCCCUAGCCAAUAUGGAGACUGGUUCCUCAAUGAAAGACAACCACUCAUAUAACUAAAUCGACUCCUAAUGAAUGACAUGAAACUCAUCCAAAAUGUAAUGGUGAAGCAUAGAAACAUAAAACUAGAUGAACAACUGAUAAAUUUGGAGGCAAAGCUAACUUAUAAGCCACAUUACCAAUAGUUUGAAGAAUCUCAAAUGGACCAAUAUACCUGGGCUAAGCUUGUCCCUCUUCCCAAACCUCAUCACACCCUUCAUGGGUGUAACUCAAAGGAAAAUAUAUCACCAACCCUAAAUCUCAAGGCAUGAAAACUAAUACGAUCACCAACCCCAAAUCUCAAGAAAUGAAGACUAUGAUCUGCAUAGCACUUUUGCCUACUCUGAGCUGCUCUAAGUCUAUCUUGAAUAAUUCGGACUGUCUAAAGACUCAUGAAGCAAGUCAAUACCUCGAGGUCUCACCUCUGAAACAUCAAACCAGCCCAUUAGAGAGAGACAACACCUACCAUACAAUUCCUCAAAAGGAUUCAUAUCGAUACUGAAAUGGUAGCUAUUAUUAUAUGAAAAUUCUGCUAAAUCCAAAUACUGCUCCCACUGGCCACUAAAAUUCAUCAUACAAGCGUGGAGCAUAUCCUCCAAAACCUCAAUAGUCCGCUCUGAUUGAUCGUCAGUAUAGGGGUGAAACGCUAUGCUAAGAUCAACCCGAGUACCCAAAUCAUCCUGAAAAAUCUUCCAAAAGUGAGAUGUGAACACUAAAUCUCGAUCCAAAAUGAUAGACACUGCACACUCUCUUGGGUAAAGAAAGGCUAAGGUUUCAUGUAGAGGAUCAAUUUGGAACUUGUACGAGUAAUUUCUCUCCAUCAUCUUCGUAAUCUAAGGCAUGUAUUCCUUCCUCAUUGUUAGUUCCAACUAAAGGCAUGUUUUAUACAAUGUUUUCAUGGCAUGAUUAUUAUAUGAUUUUGGGGUUUUCAAAUCUAUAUUGGAGUUUUGGUAUUAAAUGUUUGGUUAUGGUUUUUCCAUAUUUCAAUUAUGUAAUUACAUGGUCUAAUGGUGGUUUGGACAAUUGGUUGUAUGGGAAUGGUUAAUUGGUAACUAAAAUUGGUUUUGGGAAACACUUUGCCCCCAACAUGUUUGAUAAAAUGCCUACGAUAAUAUUUUUACUAUACUGUUGGACUUUUAAUGGAACUAUUGCAUGGUGUGGUUUUGUAAUUGAACACUAAAUGGUAUAAAUGGUUUGGAAUGGUUAAAUGAUAAGGUUUGAUGGUCAUGGUUAUGGUUAAUUAAACUUUCUUAUGGGGUACAAGGGAAUCCCCCAAGUAAACAUGGUAAUGAACAUCUUAUGGGGUACACGGGAUUUCCUUAAGCAAACCUAAUAAUGGAACACUUAUGGGGUAUAUGGGAUUUCCCUAAGUUAACUUGAUGAUGUAAUCUAUGGGUACCUGAGAAUCUUUUUACAUAAAAAGGUUGGCUAAAGACAUUGUUUGCAAGCUAUAGUUGGUAUGACGAUACCACUACUCAUAGCCAGGGCUAGUAAUAAUAGACUAAUGGUUUGGUUUGAUAGUAAUGGUUUUAAUCGGCGGGGUAUGAUAGCUAACCAUGAAGGAGCGAGUCUAAUAGAAGGACACUGGAAACUUAUGUUUGCCGACAUAAAGGUUGGUCAUAGUGUAACACCCCAAAAUUUGAUUUUUGGGAGGCCACACGGUGGUCCGAACUAUAAGUAGUCCUGAGCUAACCCUGGCUGCCUUAUACUAAAUCUGAAUCUCAAAAUAAGGGAAUAUGAAUGUAAGAUCAAAAUAAAUGUGGAAAACUAUCUGAAUUAUCUAAGUAUAUCAAAAAAUACUAAUCUCAUCGGUAUGAUAAAGAAAAUACUAAAAAUCUAAAUACUGCAACAAAAAUCUAAAAUUGAAUCUAGUAAUCCGAUAAGCCUCUACUGACUGAAUCUAGAGAGUCACUGGGACAGGCCUUAGCUGACUCAAACUGUCUGAAAUGAAUACUAAAUCAUCUACUGAUAAACUGGAAAUCUGAAAAGCUAAGUCCCCGAACUAUGAGGACUCACCAACUACAGAGAUAUAGAUGAGAUGCUCGAACAUCACUCAUGCCACUGAGACUGAGUACUUGAACCUAUAUUAUGAGACAAUGCAACACAUAGACUAUAUGUACAAUGUAACACAUAGACGUAUAUGUGGAUCAGUACUUUGGGAAUGUAUUAAGCAUAUGAGGGUGAAUGCAAUAAGUCAAACAAUACUUCAAUAGCAUCACAAGUUAUAAAAUCAUGCAUGCGAAACGUAAAGGACUCACAUAGGAUUGAGUAAUUUGAAAUCUGAAGAUCAUAAAUCUUGAAUAGUAAAACAUAUAAUGUAAAUCUUGUGAGUCACAACACUUAGUUAUAAAAUCUGUAUUUUGUUCUUAUACUCAAAUGCAUAGGCUAAGUGAAAUCUGUAAAUCUGUAUCUAAAGGCUUAUAUAAAGCAAUAUCUGAGUAAAUCUGUGAGCCUUUACAAUUAGUUUCAAAAAUCUGUCCUUUUUUAAAAGCUAUAUUUUAAAUUCAAGAACUUUAGAGAUGUAGAGAAAAUACUUUAUCUUAGGGGUUUAGAAAUAUGAAAACUUAUUCUGAAUGGGAGGUUUUUCUAACCGACAUAAACCAUGUGAGCAUUUAUGGAGUCCAACGUUCUUGUCCCCCUAAGGAGCAAUCCUCACGUUGGGAGAGGAGUCAUACUCUUACUAGGGAGUAUAACCUAUCUAAGUGAUCGCAUAUCUAUCAUCCAUGUAGAAGUGAAAAAAAUCUAAAUCCUACGUUGGCACAUAGUUCUGGGGUAUGAAACCGCAGUAACGUACCCAUCUCGGUGCUAAAUGCUACUCCUAUUAAAUCUGUAUGCUCAUUCUGAUGGAAAUCCACUUUUAAAAUAGUAUAAUGAUUUAUAAUGAAAACCAACUAUAUGUCUGAAAAGCUAAAUCUGUAAUUAGAAUCUGUAAAGUGGAUUUCAUUCUGUUUUGAGACCAAAAGGGGUCAAAUCUUUAACAAUAAUCUAAAAAAAGAAAUCUAGUCAUAGGGUGCUUAUAACCAACAAAUCUUGAAAGAGCAAUCUUUAAUUAGGCUUUAAUGACCCAUGCAUCAAACUCAUGUUAAAAUAUCAUAAUGUUCAUGCUUGAUAAUGUAAACAUUGAUAAAUAAAUUCAAAAUCUGGAAAUUUCUGCAAUAUGUAUGAAAAUAUGAACAUAAUCAUGUAAUUCAACUUUCAAAUCACUGAAAAUCUUAUAAACUUAUAAAUAACAAUAAUGGGUAUAAACCCUAACUUGAAUUUCAUGGGAAAUCAUAUAAAAUUCAGUAAAAAUUGGAAUUAAAAUAAGUUUUGGGCACAAGGAUGAAAGGAUUGUCCUUAUUCAUAACCCCACAUACCUCAAUUGAUGAACUAGUUGCAAAGGCUUGAAUCUUAGAUCCCCUAUUGAUGCUUUUAAAGUUGAAUAUUCAUUCAUCUUGACAUUCUCAAUGCUAAAUUAAACUAUGAAAAGUAUGGGGUGUUACAAUAUCUCCCCUUUGAUAAUAUUCAUCCUCGAAUGUGGCUAGUUCGACUAAGGACACUGAUGAAUCUAAGGCUAUAUAGUAGCAUGCACAACUGAAACAAAUUGCAUAACUAAUUCUAAAUUAUACUAAGCUUCUAAGCUAAUCUGUGAGAGCAUGAAUUUUCAAUGAGGACGACUAUAUAGCUGAAUCUGAAACUGGAAAGAUACUAAAUUAAGGAAGAGUAUAACCUUCGAUUGAAUCUUAUUUUGCGGAGAAGAGGUGAGGGUACUUCGCUCGCAUAUCUGCUUCUAUUUCCCAAGUGGCGUCCUCAACAAAAUAAUAUUUCCAAAGAACUUUGACCAAGAAAACUUCUUUGUUCCUUAGUCUACGGAUCUGAUGAUCUAAAAUCUCAACUGGAAUCUCUUCGUAAGAAAGGUUGUUCUAAAUAUCUGAGCUUUCUAAAGGAACUAUAACAGGGGAGUCACCGAUGUACCUUUAAGCAUAGUGAUAUGGAAUACAGGAUGAAUGAACGACAAGUCUGCGGGCAAAUCAAGCUCAUAAGCUACUUUCCCAACACGACUCACUGUUGUGUAAGGGCAAACAUACCGGGGACUAAGCUUCCUCUUUUUGCCAAAUCUCCUCACCCCUUUCAUAGAUCUUCAGAUACACUAAAUCACCAACCUCAAACUCGAGGUCCUUUAUUCUCACAUCUGCAUAUGAUUUUUGACGACUCUUGGCUAUUUUCAAUCUGUCUCUAAUCAAUUGAACCUUCUCCAUAGCUUCAAACACUACGUCAGGUAGGGGUGUUCAUGGGUCGGUUUGGAUUGAUUAUUGGUCAAAACCAUAACCAAACCAACAUAGUUGAUUUUUAAAUUUAUAAAGCCAAACCAAACCAAGACAAAAAAAUAAUCGUCAGUUUGGUUCUUGUCGGUUUAGUUCGGUUCGGUUUGGUUUUUCGGUUUAUAACUUUAGUUAAUGAUAAAAGUUGAAAUUUUUCUUAAAAAAUCCAAUCUAACAUAUGAGAUGUCAACCGAGUGUUGUUCCUCAACCUUGAAACUAAGAUGUCAAUUUGGUGUUAUCCUUAGGCAAAGCCAUGAACAACACCAUAUGAAUGCUUCUACAAAAGUAUUUAGAAACUACAUAUAAGAGAAUAAUAUUAUAAACCCCCCAAAAGCUAAACACAUAAAUUUUUUGCUCAAUAGGGACCAAAAAGAAAGUUCAAAACUAGUGAUUAUCGAUAGUCUAAUAAAACUCACCUAUAAAAUCCGAUAGACAACAGGAUAAUUUUCACAAUUAGUAUUAUUUGCCAUUCAAAGUGCGAAAAUCAUAUACAAACUCAUAACGUACAUCAACUUGAUGGAGACAUAUGACUAAAGUUAAAUUCAUGAUUAAAACUUAAAAUAUAAAUAAUAUUUAUAUUUUAUUUAUGAAUAAUAUAUAAAUAAUUUAUAUAUGCAUAUGUAUUUGUGUGUGUAUACAUAUAUAUACAUAUAUAUGUAUAUAUAUAUAUAUAAAUUAUCAGUUCGGUUUGGUUAUUUUAUCAGUUAUUUUAGAGUAAAACCAAAACCAAACCACAUAUGUAUCGAUUUUAAAAAUUUAAAACCAAACCAAACCAAAUCUAACCAAAUGUCAGUUUUUGUAAUUGGUUUGAUUUUGUUCGUGGUUCGAUUUGGUUUUUAACCAAACCAUGAACACCCAUAGCACCAGGCCCAAGCAAAGCGGCCUCACCCACUUCAAACUAACCUAUAGGUGAUCUAUAUAUCCUUCCAUAAAGGGCCUCAAACGGGGCCAUUUGUAUGCUAGAAUGGUAACUGUUAUUAUAAGGGAAAUCAAUCAAUGGUAAAUACUCAUCCCAACUACCUUUGAAAUCAAGGGCACAUUCUCUCAACAUAUCUUCUAGAGUUUGGAUGGUCCUCUCUGCUUGACCAUCUGUCUGAGGGUGGAAAGUUAAAAUAAGAUGGACUUGGGUACCAACACCCUCCUGAAAGGCUCUCCAAAACUGGAAAGUGAACUGAGUACCCCUAUCUGAAAUGAUAGACAAGGGAACUCCAUACAGUCUGACUAACUCUUGAUGUACAACUUAGCAUAAUCUUCAGCUGUGUAAGAUGUGUGAACUGGCCAGAAAUUCGCUGACUUAGUCAAUUUCUCUACAAUAACCCAAAUCGAAUUAUGUUAAAGAUACGAAUAAGGUAAACCAGUCACAAAAGCCAUAUUUACCUCUUCCCACUUUCAAAUGGGGAUACCAAACUUUUGUAACAUACCACCAGGUCUUUGGUUCUCUACCUUAACCUGUUGACAAGUUGCAUACUUUACUACAAACUCUGCUAUAUCUUUCUUCAUACCACUCCACCAAUAGAUUUCUCGCAAAUCGUAGUACAUCUUGGUAGCACCUGGAUGAAUAAAAUAACGCGCACCAUGCACUUCCGCCAUAAUCCGCUGUCUCAGAUCAUCAACACAUGGCACAAACAGUUUACUCUGGUAUCUCAACACGCCAUCUCCCCCUUGGGAGAAAAUAUUUACCUUUCGGUCUUUAACUGACUCCUUCACUUUGGCCAAACUAGAAUCCUUGUCUUGCUUCUCCUUCACUUCCAAAACUAGGGAAGAUUCGGAACUACUCUGAACCCAAAUAUUCCCUUCAGCUGAAUCAACCAACCUAACACCCAAUCUAGCCAAACGAUGAACUUCUUGAGCUAACUCUUUCUUAUCGUUCUCCACAUGAGCAACACUGCCAAUAGACAAUCUACUAAGGGUGCCUACCACUACAAUGGCUUGCCCAAAUGGUACAACAUACUCAUGUCAUAAUUUUUCAACAAUUCUAACCACCUUCUCUGAUAGAGAUUUAACCCUCUCUGGGUAAACACAUACUACAAACUUUUGUAAUCCGUGAACAAAUCAACAUGCACCCCAUAUAAAUAAUAUCUCCAGAUUUUUAAAGCAAACACAAUAGCAGCUAAUUCAAGAUCAUGGGUGGGACAAUUCUUUUCAUGAGGCUUAAGCUAUCUAAAGGCAUAGGCUAUGACCUUACCUCUCUGCAUCAGAACACAACCCAAACCAACUCUAGAGGCAUCACAAUACACCACAAAAUCAUCUGUACCAUCAGGUAAUGCUAACACUGGGUUGAAGUGAGUCGAGUCUCCAACUCCUGAAAACUCUUCUCGCAGGAAUCUAACCACAAGAACUUAACUUUCUUUGGGGUCAAUCUAGACAUAGGGGAUGCAAUAGAUGAGAAACCCUCAACAAAAUGUCUGUAAUAUCCAGCUAAACCCAAGAAACUCCUAAUGUCUGGCGGAGAAAUGGGUCUAGGCAAAUUUCUUAUGGCUUCUGUCUUUUGGGGAUCAACUCUAAUGCCAUCGGCAGAAAUAAUAUGACCGAGAAAGGCUACUGAUCUUAGCCAAAAUUCACACUUGCUAAAUUUGGCGAACAAUUGAUUAUCUCUAAGAGUUUGCAAGACAAUUCUAAGAUAAUCUACAUGGUCAUCCUCACUAUGGGAGUACACAAGGAUAUCAUUUAUGAAUACUAUGACAAAUAUGUUUAGAUACUAUUUGAACACUCAGUUUAUGAGGUCUAUAAAAGCUGUUGGGGCAUUGGUUAGCUCGAAAGACAUGACUAGAAACUCAAAAUGACCAUAACGGGUUCUGAAAGCUGUCUUUGUAAUAUCACAUUCUCUUACUUUAAGCUGAUAAUAGCCGGAUCUAAGGUCUAUCUUUGAGAAAUAACUUGCACCUUGGAGUUGAUCAAAUGGGUCAUCAAUUCUAGGAAGAGGGUAUUUGGUCUUGACUGUGACCUUAUUUAACCGACGAUAGUCAAUGCACAUUCGCAAAGAACUAUCUUUCUUUCGCACAAAUUGGACGGGCGCACCCCAUGGAGAAACACUAGGCCUUAUGAAACCUUUAUCUAAAAGAUCUUUGAGUUGGUCUUUUAACUCUUUAAGCUCUGCGGGAGCCAUAUGAUAUGGAGGGAUAAAACUAGGUUGAGUAUCUGGGAAAAGGUCAAUACCGAAUUCUAUUUUCCUAUCGAGAGGUACCCCUGCAAAUCUUUGGAAAAGACAUUAGGAAACUCACUGACUACACUGACUGACUGAAUUGUUAGAGUCUUUGACUUAGUGUCUUUAACUUGAAUAAGAUGAUAGAUACACCCUUUAGAGAUUAACGUUCUAGAUUUAAGAUAAGAUGUGAAAUGUCUUUUGGGAGACACUGAAUUUUCUUUCCACUGAAAGACUGGCUCAUCUGGUAACUGAAACUUCACCACUUUGGUGUAACAAUCUAUGGAUGCAUAAUAGGAAUGGAGCCAAUCCAUACCAAGAAUAAGAUUAAAAUCAACUAUAUCUAACUCUAUUAGGUCUGCUAACGCAAUUUUAUGAAGGACAGUGAUAGGACACUUUCUGUAAAUCUGCUUGGCAACAACUGACUCACCUACUGGGGUGAAUCAAGAAAGGCUCAGGGAUCUUUUUAGAACUUACCUCAAAAUUUAUUGUAACUAAUGAGGUCACAUAAGAGAAAAUCGACCCAGGGUCUAGCAACACAUAAACAUCAAAAUUAAAAACACGAAGCAUAUCAGUAAUAAUAUCUAGUGAAUCUUUCUACUCCUGGCAGGAUGGUAAAACAUAAAACCUAUUCUAGCACUGACCGCUACCAGUACUAGAUGAUGCACCCUGGGGAGGGAAGGGGCGACCUAGAGUGGCUGGUGCACUAUUAACCUAAGUUUUAGGAUGAACAUCUCUAUUUCUCUGUCUAGUAUGCGGGCACUUUUUAACCCCGUGACCCAGCUGGCCACAACCAUAACAACCUUUUUUACCCCACAAAUAUUCACCCGCAUGAUUCUUACCACACUUAACACAUGGCGGAUGAUUGGGCUUUCUACUCACACUAUUUUGAGAUCUGGACAUGGACGAUCUAUCCCACUGCUCCUGUCUAUUCCUGAGUGUGGGGGCACUGGCUGAAGAAGGUGCAGGCAUAGAUGGCUAAUUCUGAAACUGCGAACGAUUUUGUCCUCCAAACCUAUUCUGACCAUAAUCAAACUGCCCUAUCCUAGCUUUCUUGUUUCCCCUCUCUCUGCCCUUCAACCUUUCUGCCUUUAUCUGUUGGGCAUAAAUAAUCAACCUAGAAAGAUCCAUGUCCCCAAUAAGUAUCUCAGUCCUACACUCCUUAACUACCAACCCAGAUACACCAGUCAUAAACUUACUCAUGUUUGACCUAGGGUCAACCAUCUGACCAGAGGCAUACUUAGACAACUAUUUGAACUUGAGACAAUACUCCUUCACUAUCAUUGAGCCUUGCCUCAGGUUUAUAAACUCUUUUAUCUUGUCUUUCCUCAUCUCACAUGGAAAGAACUUAUCUAGAAAUGCAUCCUAAAAUACCUGCCAUGACAUGGGAGUUGCAUUCUCCCCUCUACUUUUCUUCCACAUCACAACCCAAUUCUAUGCAACAUCCUUUAGCCUAUAGGAUGGCAACUCUACACUUUCCUCGUCAGAAAUAUGCAUAAUAUGGGUGAUCUCCUUCACUUCAUCUAGAAAAAAUUAUGGGUCCCCACCUGCCUUUGACCCAGAGAAUUUUGGCUGGUUUAUUCUCAUAAAAUCUUAAAUUCUGGUUAUGGCUAAGUCCCCAUUUUGCUGAAGUGGGACUGCAGCCUGAUGGUCACCCUGGACAUUAGCUAUCACAGCUUGGGCAAGCACCAGAAAGACCGCUCAAAACUCUACAUGUGACACAUUCUCAUUAAAAGGAUCUGCGGGCUAAGGUGGUUGGUUAUUAUUUCUGCAUGUGUUAGCUCAACGAGGAAGCAUUUUCUGUCACUUAAAAGCAUGAUUUAGAAGCAGAUAGAGACACUGAAUGCAUGAUAGAUUAUAAAAGAAGAGAUGAUUUCCUAAAAUGCUCCAUAGCCUCUUGCUCAUAGAUGUGGCGCGCUUCACAUCGAUGAUCAAGACUCUACGUAAUGCGGCUUGUCUGACUCCCUAGGACUCUAAACCUUAGGAUCUAAUACCGAGUUUGUAACGCCUCAAAAUCUGAUUUUUGGGAUGCCACAUGGUGCUCCAAACUACAAGUAGUCCUGAGCUAACCCUGGAUGCCUUCUACUAAAUUUGAAUCUAAAAAAAAAGGGAAUAUAAAUAUGAGAUCUAAGUAAUCCUCUUGCCAGGGAGUAUAACCUAUCUAAGUGAUCACAUAUCUAUCAUCCACGUAGAAGUAAAAAUAAUCUAAAUCCUACGUUGGCACAUAGUUUUGGGGUAUGAAACCGUAGUAACGUACCCAUCUCGGUGCUAAAUGCUACUCCUAUUAAAUCUGUAUGCUCAUUCUGAUGGAAAUCCACUUUUAAAAUAGUAUAAUGAUUUAUAAUGAAAACCAACUAUAUGUUUGUAAAGCUAAAUCUGUAAUUAGAAUCUAUAAAGUGGAUUUCAUUCUGUUUUGAGACCAUAAGGGGUCAAAUUUUUAACAACAAUCUAAAAAAGAAAUCUAGUCAUAGGGUGCUUAUAACCAACAAAUCUUGAAAGAGCAAUCUUUAAUUAGGCUUUAAUGACUCAUGCAUCAAACUCAUGUUAAAAUAUCAUAAUGUUCAUGCUUGAUAAUGUAAACAUUGAUAAAUAAAUUCAAAAUCUGGAAAUUUCUGCAAUAUGCAUGAAAAUAUGAACAUAAUCAUGUAAUUCAACUUUCAAAUCACUGAAAAUCUCAUAAACUUGUAAAUAAAAUUAAUGGAUAUAAACCCUAACUUGAAUUUCAUGGGAAAUCAUAUAAAAUUCAGUAAAAAUUAGAAUUAAAAUAAGUUUCGGGCACAAGGGCGAAAGGAUUGUCCUUGUUCACAACCCCACAUACCUCAAUUGAUGAACUAGAUGCAAAGGCUUGAAUCUUAGAUCCCCUAUUGAUGCUUUUAAAAUUGAAUAUUUGAAGUUCUUGAGUUGGAAAUCCUUAAUCUUGAAUUACCUUGGAGAAUUAAUGCAGGAAUUGGAUUUCUUGGGGAGUAAGCUUUGAUGAUCUAGAGUUUUGUUUAAGAGUAUUUUGGUGAAAAUGGGUAUAAAAUGCUUAGGAUGGGUUAAAUGAUCUGUUAUUCACGACUUGGGGCUAGAGAAAAAGACCAAGAGUCUCUUUUAAAAUUUUACCCGGAUUGGGAAAAUUCCCAAAAUUGGAAUACGACGCGAUGCGCCGUUAUCGCGGUGGCCUACUGGAAACUACCAAAUGGGUUCGGGAAAAUCACCGCAAUGCGUAGCUAUCAUGGUACACUUCUGUAUUGCCAUUUUGGAUACCCCCGCGAUGCGCCAUUAUCGUGAAGGCUCACUAGAAAGUGACAAUUGUGAAAUGGGACAUCACCGCGAUGCGGUGGAAUCGCAAAAUCUCACUGAAAAUUGACAACUGUCAUUUAACUAUCUCCAUGAUGCACUAGUGACCGAAAUGACGAUGUUUUAUGACUGAAAUUUAAAAUCGUUGUAACUUCUCAUCCGGUUAUCGGAUUAAGGCGAAUCUUAUAUCUUUGGAAAGCUAAUUCAAAUUCUUACACAUUGGAGGGUCUAAAUCUAGAAAAUUCUAUAUGUAUGAAAAUUCAUUCAUCUUGACAUUCUCAAUGCUAAAUUAAACUAUGAAAAGUAUGGGGUGUUACAAUAUCUCCCCUUUGAUAAUAUUCAUCCUCGAAUGUGGCUAGUUCGACUAAGGACACUGAUGAAUCUAAGGUUAUAUAGUAGCAUGCACAACUGAAACAAAUUGCAUAACUAAUUCUAAAUUAUACUAAGCUUCUAAGCUAAUCUGUGAGAGCAUGAAUUUUCAAUGAGGACGAUUAUAUAGCUGAAUCUGAAACUGGAAAGAUACUAAAUUAAGGAAGAGUAUAACCUUCGAUUGAAUCUUAUUUUGCGGAGAAGAGGUGAGGGUACUUCGCUCGCAUAUCUGCUUCUAUUUCCCAAGUGGCGUCCUCAACAAAAUAAUAUUUCCAAAGAACUUUGACCAAGAAAACUUCUUUGUUCCUUAGUCUACGGAUCUGAUGAUCUAAAAUCUCAACUGGAAUCUCUUCGUAAGAAAGGUUGUUCUGAAUAUCUGAGCUUUCUAAAGGAACUAUAACAGGGGAGUCACCGAUGUACCUUUAAGCAUAGUGAUAUGGAAUACAGGAUGAAUGAACGACAAGUCUGCGGGCAAAUCAAGCUCAUAAGCUACUUUCCCAACACGACUCACUGUUGUGUAAGGGCAAACAUACCGGGGACUAAGCUUCCUCUUUUUGCCAAAUCUCCUCACCCCUUUCAUAGAUCUUCAGAUACACUAAAUCACCAACCUCAAACUCGAGGUCCUUUAUUCUCACAUCUGCAUAUGAUUUUUGACGACUCUUGGCUAUUUUCAAUCUGUCUCUAAUCAAUUGAACCUUCUCCAUAGCUUCAAACACUACGUCAGGUAGGGGUGUUCAUGGGUCGGUUUGGAUUGAUUAUUGGUCAAAACCAUAACCAAACCAACAUAGUCGAUUUUUAAAUUUCUAAAGCCAAACCAAACCAAGACAAAAAAAUAAUCGUCAGUUUGGUUCUUGUCGAAUUAGUUCGGUUCGGUUUAGUUUUUCGGUUUAUAACUUUAGUUAAUGAUAAAAGUUGAAAUUUUUCUUAAAAAAUCCAAUCUAACAUAUGAGAUGUCAACCGAGUGUUGUUCCUCAACCUUGAAACUAAGAUGUCAAUUUGGUGUUAUACUUAGGCAAAGCCAUGAAUAACACCAUAUGAAUGCUUCUACAAAAGUAUUUAGAAACUACAUAUAAGAGAAUAAUAUGAUAAACCCCCCAAAAGCUAAACACAUAAAUUUUUUGCUCAAUAGGGACCAAAAAGAAAGUUCAAAACUAGUGAUUAUCGAUAGUCUAAUAAAACUCACCUAUAAAAUCCGAUAGACAACAAGAUAAUUUUCACAAUUAGUAUUAUUUGCCAUUCAAAGUGUGAAAAUCAUAUACAAACUCAUAACGUACAUCAACUAGAUGGAGACAUAUGACUAAAGUUAAAUUCAUGAUUAAAACUUAAAAUAUAAAUAAUAUUUAUAUUUUAUUUAUGAAUAAUAUAUAAAUAAUUUAUAUAUGCAUAUGUAUUUGUGUGUGUAUACAUAUAUAUACAUAUAUAUGUAUAUAUAUAUAUAUAAAUUAUCAGUUCGGUUUGGUUAUUUUAUCGAUUAUUUUAGAGUAAAAUCAAACCAAACCAAAUUANNNNNNNNNNNNNNNNNNNNNNNNNNNNNNNNNNNNNNNNNNNNNNNNNNNNNNNNNNNNNNUAUCGAUUUUAAAAAUUUAAAACCAAACCAAACCAAAUCUAACCAAAUGUCAGUUUUUGUAAUUGGUUUGAUUUUGUUCAUGGUUCGAUUUGGUUUUUAACCAAACCAUGAACAUCCAUAGCACUAGGCCCAAGCAAAGCGGCCUCACCCACUUCAAACUAACCUAUGGGUGAUCUACAUAUCCUUCCAUAAAGGGCCUCAAACGGGGCCAUCUGUAUGCUAGAAUGGUAACUGUUAUUAUAAGGGAAAUCAAUCAAUAGCAAAUACUCAUCCCAAGUACCUUUGAAAUCAAGGGCACAUUCUCUCAACAUAUCUUCUAGAGUUUGGAUGGUCCUCUCUGCUUGACCAUCUGUCUGAGGGUGGAAAGUUAAACUAAGAUAUACUUGGGUACCAAAACCCUCCUGAAAGGCUCUCCAAAACUGGGAAGUGAACUGAGUACCUCUAUCUGAAAUGAUAGACAAGGGAACUCCAUACAGUCUGACUAACUCUUGAUGUACAACUUAGCAUAAUCUUCAGUUGUGUAAGAUGUGUGAACUGGCAAGAAAUUCGCUGACUUAGUCAAUUUCUCUACAAUAACCUAAAUCGAAUCAUGUUGAAGAUACGAAUAGGGUAAACCAGUCACAAAAGCCAUAUUUACCUCCUCCCACUUUCAAAUGGGGAUACCAAACUUUUGUAACAUACCUCCAGGUCUUUGGUUCUCUACCUUAACCUGUUGACAAGUUGCAUACUUUACUACAAACUCUGCUAUAUCUUUCUUCAUACCACUCCACCAAUAGAUUUCCUGCAAAUCGCGGUACAUCUUGGUAGCACCUGGAUGAAUAAAAUAACGCACACCAUGCACUUCCACCAUAAUCCGCUGUCUCAGAUCAUCAACACAUGGCACAGACAAUUUACUCUGGUAUCUCAACACGCCAUCUCCCCUUGGGAGAAAGUAUUUACCUUUUGGUCUUUAACUGACUCCUUCACUUUAGCCAAAAUAGAAUCCUUGUCUUGCUUCUCCUUCACUUCCAAAACUAGGGAAGAUUCGGAACUACUCUGAACCCAAACAUUUCCUUCAGCUGAAUCAACCAACCUAACACCCAAUCUAGACAAAUGAUGAACUUCUUGAGCUAACUCUUUCUUAUCACUCUCCACAUGAGCAACAUUGCCAAUAGACAAUCUACUAAGGGUGUCUGCCACUACAUUGGCCUGCCCAGAUGGUACAACAUACUCAUGUCAUAAUAUUUCAACAAUUCUAACCACCUUCUCUGAUAGAGAUUCAAAUCUCUUUGGUAAACACAUACUGCAAACUUUUGUAAUCCGUGAACAAAUCAACAUGCACCCCAUAUAAAUAAUAUCUCUAGAUUUUUAAAGCAAACACAACAACAGCUAAUUCAAGAUCAUGGGUUGGGCAAUUUUUUUCACUAGGCUUAAGCUGUCUAGAGGCAUAGGCUAUGACCUUACCUCUGUGCAUCAGAAUACAACCCAAACCAACUCUAGAGGCAUCACAAUACACCACAAAAUCAUCUGUACCAUCAGGUAAUGCUAAUACUGGGCUGAAGUGAGUCGAGUCUUCAACUCCUGAAAACUCUUCUCGCAGAAAUCUAACCACAGGAACUUAACUUUCUUUGGGGUCAAUAUAGACAUAGGGGAUGCAAUAGACAAGAAACCCUCAACAAAACGUCUAUAAUAUCCAGCUAAACCCAAGAAACUCCUAAUGUCUGGCGGAGAAAUAGGUCUAGGCAAAUUUCUUAUGGCUUUUGUCUUUUUGGGAUCAACUCUAAUGCCAUCGGCUGAAAUAAUAUGAUCGACAAAGGCUACUGAUCUUAGCCAAAAUUCACACUUGCUGAAUUUGGUGAACAAUUGAUGAUCUCUAAGAGUUUGCAAGACAAUUCUAAGAUGAUCUACUUGGUCAUCCUCAUUAUGGGAGUACACAAGGAUAUCAUUUAUGAAUACUAUGACAAAUAUGUUUAUAUACUAUUUGAACACUCGGUUCAUGAGGUCUAUAAAAGCUGUUGGGGCAUUGGUUAGACCGAAAGACAUGACUAGAAACUCAAAAUGACCAUAGAGUUCUGAAAGCUGUCUUUGUAAUAUCACAUUCUCUUACUUUAACCUAAUGAUAGCCGGAUCUAAGGUCUAUCUUCGAGAAAUAACAUGCACCUUGGAGUUGAUCAAAUGGGUCAUCAAUUCUAGGAAGAGGGUAUUUGGUCUUGACUGUGACCUUAUUUAGCUGACGAUAGUCAAUGCACAUUCACAAAGAACCAUCUUUCUUUCGCACGAAUUGGACGGGCGCACCCCAUGGAGAAACACUAGGCCUUAUGAAACCUUUAUCUAAAAGAUCUUUGAGUUGCUCUUUCAACUCCUUAAGCUCUGCGGGAGCCAUAUGAUAUGGAGGGAUAAAAAUAGGUUGAGUAUCUAGGAAAAGGCCAAUACCAAAUUCUAUUUCCCUAUCGAGAGGUACCCCUGCAAAUUUUUGGAAAAGACAUUAGGAAACUCACUGACUACACUGACUGACUGAAUUGUUGGAGUCUUCGACUUAGUGUCUUUAACUCGAAUAAGAUGAUAGAUACACCCUUUAGAGAUUAACUUUCUAGAUUUAAGAUAAGAUGUGAAAUGGCUUUUGGGAGACACUGAAUUUUCUUUCCACUUAAAGACUGGAUCAUCUGGAAACUGAAACUUCACCACUCUGGUGUAACAAUCUAUAGAUGCAUAAUAGGAAUGGAGCCAAUCCAUACCAAGAAUAAGAUUAAAAUCAACUAUAUCUAACUCUAUUAGGUCUGCUAACAUAAUUUUAUGAAGGACAGUGAUAGGACACUUUCUGUUAAUCUGCUUGGCAACAACUGACUCACCUACUGGGGUAAAUCAAGAAAGGCUCAGGGAUCUUUUUAGAACUUACCUCAAAAUUUAUUGUAACUAAUGGGGUCACGUAAGAGAAAAUCGACCCAGGGUCUAGCAACACAUAAAUAUCAAAAUGAAAAACAUGAAGCAUAUCAGUAAUAAUAUCUAGUGAAUCUUUCUACUCCUGGCGAGAUGGUAAAACAUAGAACCUAUUUUGGCACUAACCGUUACCGGUACUAGAUAAUGCACCCUGAGGAGAGGCUGGGUGACCUAGAGUGCUUGGUACACUAUUAACCUAAGUUUUAGGACGAACAUCUCUAUUUCCCUGUCUAGUAUGCUGGCACUCUUUAACCCCGUGACCCAACUGGCCACAACCAUAACAACCUUUUUUACCCCACAAAUAUUCACCUGCAUGAUUCUUACCACACUUAACACAUGGGGGAUGAUUGGGCUUCCUACUCACACUAUUUUGAGAUCUGGACAUAGACGAUCUACCCCAUUACUCCUGUCUGUUCCUGAGUGUGGGGGCACUGGCUGAAGAAGGUGCAGGCAUAGAUGGCCAAUUCUGAAACUGUGAACGAUUUUCUCCUGCAAACCUAUUCUGACCGUAAUCAAAUUACCCUAUCCUAGCUUUUUUGUUUCCCCUCUCUCUACCCUUCAACUUCUCUGCCUCUAUCUGUUGGGCAUAAAUCAUCAACUUAGCAAGAUUUAUGUCCCUAAUAAAUAUGUCAGUCCUACACUCCUUAACUACCAACCCAGACACACCAGUCACAAACUUACUCAUGCUUGACCUAGGGUCAACCAUCUGACCAGAGGCAUACUUAGACAACUGGUUGAACUUGAAACAAUACUCCUUCACUAUAAUUGAGCCUUGCCUCAGGUUUAUAAACUCUUUUAUCUUGGCUUUCCUCAUCUCACAUGGAAAGAACUUAUCUAGAAAUGCAUUCUGAACUACCUGCCAUGACAUGGGAGUUGCAUUCUCCCCUUUACUUUUCUUCCACAUCACUACCCAAUUAUAUGCAACAUCCUUCAGCCUAUAGUAUGCCAACUCUACACUCUCCUCAUCAGAAAUAUGCAUAAUAUGGGUGAUCUUCUUCACUUCAUCUAGAAAAAAUUAUGGGUCCCCACCUGCCUUUGACCCAAAGAAUUUCGACUGGUUUAUUCUCAAAGAAUUCUGGCUGGUUCAUUCUCAUAAAAUUUUAAAUUCUGGUUGUGGCUAAGUCCCCAUUUUGCUAAAGUUGGACUGCAGCCUGAUGGUCGCCCCGGACAUUAGCUAUCACAGCUUGGGCUAGCACCUGAAAGACAGCUCAAAACUCUACAUGUGACACAUUCUCAUUAAAAGGAUCUGCGGGCUAAGGUGGUUGGUUAUUAUUUCUGCAUGCGUUAGCUCAACGAGGAAGCAUUUUCUGUCACUUAAAAGCACAAUUUAGAAGCAGAUAGAGACACUAAAUGCAUGAUAGAUCAUAAAAGAAGAGAUGAUUUCCUAAAAUGCUCCAUAGCUUCUUGCUCAUAGAUGUGGUGCGCUUCACAUUGUUGAUCAAGACUCUACGUAAUGCGGCUUGUUUGACUUCCUAGGACUCUAAACCUUAGGCUCUAAUACCGAGUUUGUAACGCCUCAAAAUCUGAUUUUUGGGAUGCCACAUGGUGCUCCAAACUACAAGUAGUCCUGAGCUAACCCUGGAUGCCUUCUACUAAAUUUGAAUCUAAAAAAAAGGGAAUAUAAAUAUGAGAUCUAAGUAAUCCUCUUGCCAGGGAGUAUAACCUAUCUAAGUGAUCACAUAUCUAUCAUUCACGUAGAAUUGAAAACAAUCUAAAUCCUACGUUGGCACAUAGUUCUGGGGUAUGAAACCGUAGUAACGUACCCAUCUCGGUGCUAAAUGCUACUCCUAUUAAAUCUGUAUGCUCAUUCUGAUGGAAAUCCACUUUUAAAAUAGUAUAAUGAUUUAUAAUGAAAACCAACUAUAUGUCUGUAAAGCUAAAUCUGUAAUUAGAAUCUGUAAAGUGGAUUUCAUUCUAUUUUGAGACCAAAAAGGGUCAAAUCUUUAACAACAAUCUAAAAAAAGAAAUCUAGUCAUAGGGUGCUUAUAACCAAUAAAUCUUGAAAGAGCAAUCUUUAAGUAGGCUUUAAUGACCCAUGCAUCAAACUCAUGUUAAAAUAUCAUAAUGUUCAUGCUUGAUAGUGUAAACAUUGAUAAAUAAAUUCAAAAUCUGGAAAUUUCUGCAAUAUGCAUAAAAAUAUGAACAUAAUCAUGUAAUUCAAUUUUCAAAUCACUGAAAAUCUCAUAAACUUUUAAAUAACAAUAAUGGGUAUAAACCCUAACUUGAAUUUCAUGGGAAAUCAUAUAAAAUUCAGUAAAAAUUAGAAUUAAAAUAAGUUUUGGGCACAAGGGCGAAAGGAUUGUCCUUGUUCAUAACCCCACAUACCUCAAUUGAUGAACUAGAUGCUAAGACUUGAAUCUUGGAUCCCUGUUGAUGCUUUUAAAGUUGAAUUUUUAAAGUUCUUGAGUUGGGAAUCCUCAAUCUUGAAUUGCCUUGGAGAAUUAAUGGAGGAAUUGGAUUUCCUUGGGAGUAAGCUUUGAUGAUCUAGGGUUUUGUUUAAGAGUGUUUUGGCGAAAAUGGGUAUAAUAUGCUUAGGAUAAGUUAAAUGAUCUAUUAUUCACGACUUGGGGCUAGAGAAAAAGACCAAAGAGCCCCUUUUAAAAUUUUACCCGGAUUGGGAAAAUUCCCAAAAUUGGCCUACGGCUCGACACAUCAUUAUCGCAGUGGCCUACUGAAAACUACCAACUGGGGCCUGGAAAAUCACCGUGACGUGGAGCUAUCACAGUACGCUUCUGGAUUGCCAUUUUGGCCACCUCCGCGAUGCGCCAGAGGCUCACGAGAAAGUGACAAUUGUGAAAUAGGACAUCACCGCGAUGCUAUGGAAUCGCAAAAUCUCAUUGGAAAUUGAAAACUGUCAUUUAAACUGUCUCUGCGACGCGCUAGUGACCGAAAUGAUGGUGUUUUACGACUGGAACUUAAAAUCGUCAUAACUUCUCAUUCGAUUAUCGGAUUAAGGUGAAUCUUAUAUCAUUGGAAAGCUAAUUCAAAUUCCUACACAUUGGUGGGUCAAAAUCUGGAAAAUUCUAUAUGUAUGAAAAGUCAUUCUCUCUUAAAGCCGAUGUUUGAUAUUCUCAACGCUAAAUUGCACUAGGAAAAGUACGGGGUGUUACACAUAGCGACCAUAUAUGAUACUAUGAGGUACAUGGAAAUCAUCUAAGUACAAUGUACACAUGUAUUAUGGAGAGCGAAGGGUAAUCUAGUGUAAGAAGUACACUACAACAUAAGUCAUAGCUAUACAUGACUUAUGUUGUAGUGUACUUCAUAGCUAAAUGUGAAAAUUUUCGUGGCUAAACACUUUAGCUACAUUUUUUUUGUAGCAUUCGUAGAAAAAAACAGUGUAACUAAAGGUUAGCUACAGAAUUUACAUGGACAGUGGCUAACAACUAAUAAUUAUAGCCACAAAUUUUUUAUGUUGUAACAGUAUAGCGAAAUGUUCUUGCCAUGGAACAUACACUUUUAGCAAGUGAUUUUAUUCUUUUUCCAUGACGAAUAAUAUUAGUAGCAACAUUCAAAUUGUAUCCACAAGACAUUAUAUUAUAGCAAAAAGAAUUAUUUUAUUUGCCACACAAAUUUAAAUUUUAUAGCUUAGUCUCUUGAAAAUAAAACUCCUACUUAGUUAUGAAUAAAAUAAUCAUAGAUAUAAAUUAAAGCAUUUUCCGCAAACAUAUUCAUAUUGUAGCUAAGAAUUCAUAUCUUUAGCUAUGAAAUAUAUAAAAUGUAGUAGUUUUUUUUAUUUGAUACAAAGGUAAAAAAAUUAUAGCCAUGUUUUUAAUACGUAGCAGUUAUAGAAUAUAUUUAACUACAAAUUUAAAAGUGCAUAGCUAAAAUCUUAUACUUUUUGUAACGAAAAAUAAAAUAGUAGCAAAACAUUAUCUUUAUUUGCUAUGAAAACGAACAAGUGUAGCUAUACAUUAGCAAUUGUAUUUAUAUUUAGCUAUGAAUUUCAAAUAAACUAUAGCUACUAAUUGAAAUUAUUUCACGAAUAUUAUUUGCCACGAUAAUUCAUAAAACGUAAUUUGACAUUAAUUUAUAAAUAAUAUAAUAGAAUAUAUUAUUCAAUUAUCUAAUAAAUUUAAAAGAAAAACAUUGAAACUGUCUAAUAGAUUAUCAAUGAUAUUGUUCCAAAAUUGUAAAAGAUUUUGCAAGAAAAUAUAAUCAUGGGCCUUCAUUGAUUUGAUAUUUCCAUCACUCCUCCAUACCAUGCAAUGACUAUUGACCUCAAGUUGCAAACAUCCUUUGAAAUCUUUCUUCCCAUCGUUUAUCCAAUUCUGCUAUUUUAUCCUCCAUUUCUUUCUUCAUUUCUUCAGAUUCUUCUUUAGCUUCCCAUUUGGCUUUUUUCACACGCUCAUUUGAUUCCUUUCUAAUUGAUUCUACUUGUUUUAUGAGUUGUACCUUUGUCGAACUUCCACCAAAAUAUUCACUGAUACUUUUUCCUGGUCCAUAUACACGAAGAUAUCCAUUUUUUCAGUUUCAAACACCUUUUCAAAAAUAUCAUCAUCAUUUAAGGAAAUUUCUCCUUCUUUUUGCUCCUUUUUGUAUUGUUCUAAUUGAUCCUGCAAUUAAAAAAAUAUUAAUUAAAUAUUUAUAUAAAUAUAUAUUCUAAAAGAAGAUGAAAUGAAAAGCAAAACUAAAACAUACAAGAACAUCUUGUUGAAAAGUAUUGAUUUUUUUUUUCAUUUUUUCUCUUGCGCUAUUAAAUAAAGACUUCAACGCGAGAAGGAGCUUUUCUAUUUUUCUUCUAUAAAAAUAAAAGAUAUUAUUUUAAUUAGAUAAGAUAUAUGAAUAGAAGUAUUGUAAAUACAUUCUAAAUAUCAUUACUCCAUAAUACCAUUUCAUUUCUAAGUCCUGCAUAAUUUUUACUCCCACAAUAAGGAGGCAAGGAACGGCUCGAUCGAUUUGUCUUGUUCUGCAUAAUUUUCUUCUGAAUAAAAUUGAAAGUGAAAAAUGAAAAACUUUUCUGCUAAUAUAAAUAACAAUAAAUAAAUUUAAAUACCUAAAAGUUAGCAUCACUCCAAAGAUUGACCAAAUAUUUCCAGUCGUCUGCGACGACACGUUCAGGCUUAUUGCGUGAGCGAAGUUGGUAAGUUGUUUUUGUAUCGAAAUACUUUUGUUUCAUCCUGUGUCUAUAAUCUCUAUAGAGAUAAUUCAUAUGGACCAAAAUUGCACCUUUUCUUUCCUCAAACACAUCAAAGUUAAACUUCUCCUAUAAAAAAAAAAUACAACAUACCGCUAUAAUUUAUAAUCAUAUUUCUUGAUAAUUGUUAGUUCACAAAAAUUAAAGACAAUAAUAUUUUCAAUAUAUUCCUGCAAAACAGGGUCUGAAAAAGCUAAGCAUACGCAAUUCAUAUCACUAUCUGAAAAUAAAAUAGAUAGACUGUUUCGAUAGACCCCGUCAAAGAGAAAAGGGAAGGAGGAAUAUGAAAAAAGGAGAGAUAAGCAUAUGCAAUUCUUACUAAAGACUUCAACCUGAGGAUAAAAAACAUGUAAAAUAGAAUAGACAAAGACAUGCACUAACCAAACUAAAUAUCCUAAAAGUAAAAAUCGAUAACACAAGAUUGUCCAUGCACUAACUCAAGGAUAGAAAAAUAGUAAAAGAUGUCAACAUUUGUAUAGUUCACACCACUUUUGAUGUUAGGUGUUAUAUAUAAUACAAAAGUAACAAGUUAUAUAUGUAAUACAAAAAGUAACUAGAAAAGAAAAAGUAUCACAACUUUCAAUUUGAUAGUCAAUGUCGACAGUUAGUUAACUAGGGGUGGAGGGGGUUGAUUAAAUACAUUUUUUAAUCAUUCAAGUACUUAAAGAGUUCUUUUUCUUUUUCAGUUCUUCUUACACUUACGGUAUACAUUAAUUUUACACAAUCAAGUAAAAUAGAUACACGUAAACACUCAAAAAAUUGUCAUUAAUAACCUGUUGGAAGUAAAACAAAUCUGCUAUAAGACCUAAAAAUAUUUUGAUAGUAAAGACUUCAAUCUGAAGAUCGAAACUGUAACGACCUAAAUAUUUGAUGAAAUAUGUAAAUUUUGCGGUUUUGUGUGAUUUGACUAUUUUACCUCUCCCUAUAGUUGCAUUAUGAUAGUUCUUGGGUUUGGGAGUGAUUGGCAUGAUUUUUGAUGCAUUUUGGUACAUUUAUACAAUAUUGUGGUUUUUUAUGGUUUGGAGAGCCUUAUUUUGGACUUAUGUGGAUAUCUUUUGAUCUGUGCGACGGAUAGCUGAACGGACUAUGUCAAAAGCUCUAGAAUAUUGAUUUUAGGCUAGGUAGACCUUUGGCUCGGGUCCUGUGCACCUGAGCUCAUUUCGAUUUAUUUGUCGGAAAGUUGAAAAAUUGGAAAUAUGGGUGUGGGACCCAUAUUUGAUCGAAACGACUUCGGAUGGAAAAUCCGACUUCUCCUGCAGAUCCAAAAUAUCAAUUUUAGAGUGUUAGCAUAUUUGGUAUGAUUUUACGAUUUUUAAAUAUCAUUUCAAUGCUCGAUUUUGAAAAUUAUAAUUUCAGAUGUCGGGGGUCAACUUUGCGAAAAUGGUAAUUUUUUUAAAAAUCUGAUUUUGCCAACGCAUUCGGAACGUCGAAUUUAGUAUGGUUACAUAGUUUGUUUGCAUGUAUCGAACACCAAACAAAUUUCGGACACCCCGUUGAAGUUCGGAGUGGACUUUAAAAUUAAAAAAACUGCAACUUUCUUCUCUUUUAAUUGCUGGUGCAGAUUUUUGUUGCACCAUUAAACCAAUUUUAGGCCCAUCUUUCUUCACUCUUCAUCUCUCCUCUUGAGAAUUAAAUCCUAAAAUAGUGUGGGAGCUUAAAAGUGAAGCUUGUAGGAGCUUGGGAAGAUAUAUUAAAAUUCAUUUCUUGAUUUUAUUAAAGAUUUAAGGUAAGAAAUCAUCCAUUUUCUUAGAAAUUUCUUGAUUAAUUUUUUAAAAACGCCCAAAAAAUCUUAGGGCCUGGUUUUAAACCCCAAUUUUACUUCUUUUCACAUGAAUAGUAUUUUUAUCUUAUAAUUACUAGUUUUUCAUCAAUUUAACCUUCAAAACAACUCCGAUUCUUGAUUUUAACCCUGAUUUCAAAGAUUUUGCCCGGAAAAGCUCAAAAAUAUUUUUUUUUAUUUGAAUCCCAUUUUUUACUUGAUUUAACUUGGGUUUUCAGUUGUAGUUCCUAAAAAUAUGGGGAACAUAUUUUUGAAGUAAAGUUUUGAUUUUACCCUUUUUUCGAAAACCUAUUUUGGGGGUCCGUUUUGAACCAUGAACAAAAAAUAGUCAAUAUGGGCAUUGUUGGUUUUGUUUUGGCGCAUAGAUUUCAUAUUUGAUGUUUUUAGUGAAGUUCGGAAUUGUUCUUAAAAAUUAAGAUCGCGAAUUCAAGUUUAAUGGAUCAGUUUUGGCUUUCGAGGUAGUUUAUGGCUUAACUCUUUCAGACUGGAUUGGAUAGUAAAUGAUGAUACAAAAUUCAUGUUAAGGGUGGAAACUAAUCAUGAAAAUGACUAUUUAUGUGUUAUGCCCAUGUGGGGGCCUAUAUGUGAUGUAAUUGUCAAAAUUGAGUUAUUAUGUGAUAUGUGUGGCCGUGUGGGGUCCUAUGUGAUAUUAAUAGCCUUGAAUACAUGUGAAUAAUUGUAUUGUGUGGUUAAAAUUCUUAAUGUGGUACCAUUGGUGUAUUGUGAUUAUAUUCAUACUUUAUUGGCAUAUGAGACAUGUGGAAAUUCUUGGAUGAAACGAAAAUAAUGAGUGGAUAUUGGCUCAUGUGGUUGUGAAAAUGUAUCAUUAUGGUUGGUUGUGAAAAUAUAUCAUGUGGUUGGUUGUGGAAAUACUCAUUGUGAUUGGUUGUGAGCAUUACAUCUUCAUAUCAUACUCAUUCAUGAAACAUUGGCACCACCGUGACAACAUCUGAGAAACACUGGCAACGUCUUUUUAAAAGAUAAUGUAACACCUGAUAAAACCCUUUUCGAGGGAUGUGUAAAAAAGGAUAUAUGAGAUAUGUGGAUUAUAUACGGUUGACGAACCCCCCAUGGGUCCUACGUCGGGAAGCUUUAGCUCCAAAAGUGUAUACGGGGAUUGUGCGAUGAUCCCGGAGGUUGUGCGAUGACCUCGUGCAUCAUCAUCAUAUACAUUGCACUUACUUUAUUGUGUUUAUGUUGUGUUGUAUUGCCUUAUUGACUUGUCAUCUAUGUAAUUGUCUUACUUUCCUUUACUUGUAUUUGAUAAUCUUGUAUCUACAUAUUCUCUCUUGUUCUAUUUAUAUGUGACAUAAUGUAUACUCGUGUUCUAUAUUUUGGUGUGUUGUUGUAAUAUAUGUGAGAUAUAUUAGAACUGUUAGUGCAAGCGGUGUGGGCUACCAUUGUGGGAUACUUUCUAAUUGCUGGUGGCGUGUCCUUAGUGUAUAUUUUGUAUGCUUUAUUUACUACUGUGCUUGUGCAUCCUAUGAUACCUACUGAGUACAAAUGGACCGUACUCAUGCCUACUGCGCCCUUUCGGUGCAGGUUCUAGCUCGAGUGUGCCUUAGCUUGAUUGACUCGGGCGAUUGUUGGAGCUUCCAAGGUAGCGGUUGGACAUUUAUGCGUUCGAAGUUCACCUCUAUCUUUGUAUAGCAGUUAUGUCUUUAUUAGUAUUCGG
rnacentral:lncRNA from 1 species